rnacentral:rRNA from 1 species
GACGAACGCUGGCGGCGUGCCUAAUACAUGCAAGUCGAGCAGACGAAUCGAAAGCUUGCUUUUGAUUCGUUAGCGGCGGACGGGUGAGUAACACGUGGGCAACCUGCCCUGUAGACGGGGAUAACACCGAGAAAUCGGUGCUAAUACCGGAUAACACGAAAUGUCGCAUGACGUUUCGUUGAAAGACGGCGCAAGCUGCCGCUACAGGAUGGGCCCGCGGCGCAUUAGCUAGUUGGUGAGGUAACGGCUCACCAAGGCGACGAUACGUAGCCGACCUGAGAGGGUGAUCGGCCACACUGGGACUGAGACACGGCCCAGACUCCUACGGGAGGCAGCAGUAGGGAAUCUUCCGCAAUGGACGAAAGUCUGACGGAGCAACGCCGCGUGAGCGAAGAAGGCCUUCGGGUCGUAAAGCUCUGUUGUUAGGGAAGAACAAGUAACGCAGUAACUGGCGUUACCGUGACGGUACCUAACGAGAAAGCCACGGCUAACUACGUG